GCCUGUAUGAUUUAAUGGUUUGAAUGUUGAAUGUUGAUUCUGGAGACAGGGUUCAAAUCCCUGUUCAGACA
rnacentral:tRNA from 1 species